CAAGUCGAGGGGCAGCAUGGUCUUAGCUUGCUAAGGCCGAUGGCGACCGGCGCACGGGUGAGUAACACGUAUCCAACCUGCCGUCUACUCUUGGACAGCCUUCUGAAAGGAAGAUUAAUACAAGAUGGCAUCAUGAGUCCACAUGUUCACAUGAUUAAAGGUAUUCCGGUAGACGAUGGGGAUGCGUUCCAUUAGAUAGUAGGCGGGGUAACGGCCCACCUAGUCUUCGAUGGAUAGGGGUUCUGAGAGGAAGGUCCCCCACAUUGGAACUGAGACACGGUCCAAACUCCUACGGGAGGCAGCAGUGAGGAAUAUUGGUCAAUGGGCGAGAGCCUGAACCAGCCAAGUAGCGUGAAGGAUGACGGCCCUAUGGGUUGUAAACUUCUUUUAUAUGGGAAUAAAGUUUGGUAUGUAUACCAUUUUGUAUGUACCAUAUGAAUAAGGAUCGGCUAACUCCGUGCCAGCAGCCGCGGUAAUACGGAGGAUCCGAGCGUUAUCCGGAUUUAUUGGGCUUAAAGGGAGCGUAGGUGGAUUGUUAAGUCAGUUGUGAAAGUUUGCGGCUCAACCGUAAAAUUGCAGUUGAAACUGGCAGUCUUGAGUACAGUAGAGGUGGGCGGAAUUCGUGGUGUAGCGGUGAAAUGCUUAGAUAUCACGAAGAACUCCGCUUGCGAAGGCAGC
rnacentral:rRNA from 1 species